UGUAUGCAGAAAAAAACGUGUAUUAAAAUAUGCGCAUAUACAGUCGUCGGCAUUUCGAUUUAACCACUCCCUAGUGUAAGUUUUCAAAAUUUCGCUGGUGUAAACGGCUUUCCGUACCUUUUUAGAGAGAAAAUGGCCGACGAUUAAUGACAUUAGUUACUUUUUUUUGACAUUUGUUUGAUCGCCGUCUUACAAGGUUCUGUGCUUACAAGGCGACGGCUUAUUAAUUAAGGGGCUCUUUUAUGUGGGUUAGAGCUUAGGGUACGCAUUUUCAGUGCACAUACACCGCCAUUAUCAAACUGUGGAAUCGAAAGUGCAGUAUAAAUCUGCACUGCCACAAUUGAUGGUAUAAGCAGUUAACAGUUUACCAUCUCGUUAACAAAAGGUGGACAUCAAUAAAAUGGGCAAGUGCGACCCAAAGGUAUAGUGAAAAUUGGAACUUUUAUUUGUAUUUUUACCUAUCUAUGUACAAGGAUGGUGCACGAAGAAUCACCACAUGAGUGGCAGUUUGUAAUUUGUAUUAAUAUUUCCAUCAGUCUUAUUUGUGCUGCCAUGGACGAUACUGACUUAUGGCUUGGUUCUUCUGAAUCACAGAACUCUGGUGCUUGUACUAAUAAUGCGUCAUUAGAAGAUUUACACAUUUUAAUGAAAUAUUACCAGAACUGUUAUAAUUUAUAAGAAACUACAUGAAGUAUUUAAAGAGAUAAAGCGUGAAGCAAAAGGAAGUGAUGUAAAGAAGCAGAUCAAUUCACCAAGGUUGAAUAACAGGAGGGAAUUAAAUAAAAUGAAAUGUUCUAAAUGUGAUAGAAAGACAAUUCUCAAUGAACAUAAUUUAUAGGAACGUAAACAGUAGUCUCAACUGUUACAAAUCAGUGUAUUGUCAAAAACUUUAACAAUGGAAUAAAACAGGAACAACUAACUAACUCAUUAAUACAAUAACUGUUAAAAGGUGUGACAUUUAUUUACUUAGCAAGGUAAAUUAAUCACCUAUUACCUCUACAAUAAUUGUUUCUAUAUCAUUCUCUGCAUUCAUCCAUUCACACUUCAAACCAAAUUUACCCCCUGCAUGAAGUAUGGUAAACCUCCUACCCUCAUUCAUUACUAUUUUCGCAGGCAUGCCUCUCUGAUCACUCUCAUGCACCCAUCUUCUUACUGGUACACCAUGCUGACCACGUCUCGUCUAAAUAAACAAAUGUCACAUCUUCUUCCAUUAACUGUAUGUAACGCCUUAAAAAUUUAAUUUUUAAUCCCUGUAAGCGGGGCGACUCAAUUAUAAUUUUCCUGUUUUCAACUUUUUUUAAAUUGUAACCCAUGGAUUUAAUAACCCUUCGUAGAGUCCGGAUACUUGCGUUGUAAUUAAGAUUUUCUGUGGCAAAAUUAAAUAAAUCCUGAAUUGUAAAAAACUCA